GGGAGGUAUGGUUGUCUGUCUGAAUGAAGGGAGGUAUUGUUAUCUGACUGAAUGGAGGGAGGGAGGUAAUGUUGUCUGUCUGAAUGAAGGGAGAUAUUGUUCUCUGACUGAAUGGAGGGAGGUAUGGUUGUCUAACAAUGGAGGGAGGUACGGUUGUCUAACAAUGGAGGAAGGUAUGGUUGUCUAACAAUGUAGGGAGGUAUGGUUGUCUGACUGAAUGUAGGGAGGUAUGGUUGUCUGACUGAUUGGAGGGAGGUAUGGUUGUCUGUCUGAAUGAAGAGAGGUAUGGUUGUCUGUCUGAAUGGAGGGAGGUAUGGUUAUCUGAUUGAAUGGAGGGAGGUUGGGUUGUCUGACUGAAUGGAGGGAGGUAUGGUUGUCCGUCUGAAUGGAGGGCGGUAUGGUUGUCUGUCUGAAUGAAGAGAGGUAUGGUUGUCUGUCUGAAUUGAGGGAGGGAUGUAUGGUUGUCUGUCUGAAUUGAGGGAGGGAGGUAUGGUUGUCUGUCUGAAUGGAAGGAGGUAUGGUUGUCUGUCUGUAUGGAUGGAGGUAUGGUUGUCUGACUGAUUGGAGGGAGGUAUGGUUGUCUGUCUGAAUGAAGAGAGGUAUGGUUGUCUGUCUGAAUGGAGGGAGGUAUGGUUGUCUGUCUGAAUGGAGGGAGGUAUGGUUAUCUGACUGAAUGGAGGGAGGUAUGGUUGUCUGUCUGAAUGGAGGGAGGUAGGGUUAUCUGACUGAAUGCAGGGAGUUAUGGUUGUCUGACUGAAUGGAGGGAGGUAUGGUUAUCUGACUGAAUGCAGGGAGUUAUGGUUGUCUGUCUGAAUGG
ensembl:lncRNA